GAGAGAUUGGGGGGUUGUUUGAAGGCCAGAAGAGGGGUUCAGGAAAGAUUUCUUUCAGGAUGGGGUCCCCAUUGAGUAUGGGUUGUAUUUGUUUGAUGAUACCCCACAUGGAUUCCAGUGUGGGAUGGAAGUUGACUGUGGCAGGU